rnacentral:rRNA from 1 species
GACGAACGCUGGCGGCGUGCUUAACACAUGCAAGUCGAACGGAAAGGCCCUGCUUUUGUGGGGUGCUCGAGUGGCGAACGGGUGAGUAACACGUGAGUAACCUGCCCUUGACUUUGGGAUAACUUCAGGAAACUGGGGCUAAUACCGGAUAGGAGCUCCUGCUGCAUGGUGGGGGUUGGAAAGUUUCGGCGGUUGGGGAUGGACUCGCGGCUUAUCAGCUUGGUGGUGGGGUAGUGGCUUACCAAGGCUUUGACGGGUAGCCGGCCUGAGAGGGUGACCGGCCACAUUGGGACUGAGAUACGGCCCAGACUCCUACGGGAGGCAGCAGUGGGGAAUAUUGCACAAUGGGCGGAAGCCUGGUGCAGCAACGCCGCGUGCGGGAUGACGGCCUUCGGGUUGUAAACCGCUUUCGCCUGUGACGAAGCGUGAGUGACGGUAAUGGGUAAAGAAGCACCGGCUAACUACGUG